AAUGAACGCUGGCGGCGCGCCUAAUACAUGCAAGUCGAGCGAGAAGACGUAGCAAUACGUUUGUAAAGCGGCGAACGGGUGAGGAAUACAUGGGUAACCUACCCUCGAGUGGGGAAUAACUAGCCGAAAGGUUAGCUAAUACCGCGUACGCUUCUUGGACUUCGGUUCAGGGAGGAAAGCGAUGCCGAGGGUAUCGCGCUCUUGGAUGGGCUCAUGUCCUAUCAGCUUGNGGUGAGGUAACGGCUCACCAAGGCUUCGACGGGUAGCUGGUCUGAGAGGACGAUCAGCCACACUGGCACUGCGACACGGGCCAGACUCCUACGGGAGGCAGCAGUAAGGAAUAUUGCGCAAUGGGCGAAAAGCCUGACGCAGCGACGCCGCGUGGGGGAUGAAGGUCUUCGGAUUGUAAACCCC
rnacentral:rRNA from 1 species